rnacentral:lncRNA from 11 species
GACAAGUCAGAAGAGACUGCAGCAGUUAGUCUUUCUCUGAGCCUCCUGGCAAGGCAAAGAACAUCUGAUAUCUGGGACACUGGUAUUUAAAAUGUACAAACAUGAAG